rnacentral:rRNA from 1 species
AUUGAACGCUGGCGGCAGGCCUAACACAUGCAAGUCGAACGUCAGCACAGAAGAGCUUGCUCUUUGGGUGGCGAGUGGCGGACGGGUGAGUAAUGUCUGGGAAACUGCCCGAUGGAGGGGGAUAACUACUGGAAACGGUAGCUAAUACCGCAUACCGUCGCAAGACCAAAGGGGGGGACCUUCGGGCCUCACACCCUCGGAUGUGCCCAGAUGGAAUUAGCUAGUAGGUGGGGUAAUGGCUCACCUAGGCGACGAUCCCUAGCUGGUCUGAGAGGAUGACCAGCCACACUGGAACUGAGACACGGUCCAGACUCCUACGGGAGGCAGCAGUGGGGAAUAUUGCACAAUGGGCGCAAGCCUGAUGCAGCCAUGCCGCGUGUAUGAAGAAGGCCUUCGGGUUGUAAAGUACUUUCAGCGGGGAGGAAGGCGGUGAGGUUAAUAACCUUGCCGAUUGACGUUACCCGCAGAAGAAGCACCGGCUAACUCCGUGCCAGCCGCCGCCGUAA